GACGAACGCUGGCGGCGUGCUUAACACAUGCAAGUCGAACGAUGAAGAAGAGAAACGCGAACUUCGGUUCAAAUUUCACUUCGGAUUAGUGGCAGACGGGUGAGAAACGCGUGAGCAACCUACCUCUUACAAAGGGAUAGCCUCGGGAAACCGUGAUUAAUACCAUAUGACACAUUCAUAAGGCAUCUUAAGGAUGUUAAAGCUACGGCGGUAAGAGAUGGGCUCGCGUCCCAUUAGCUAGUUGGUGAGGUAACGGCCCACCAAGGCGACGAUGGGUAACCGGCCUGAGAGGGUGAACGGUCACAUUGGAACUGAGACACGGUCCCAACUCCUACGGGAGGCAGCAGUGGGGAAUAUUGCACAAUGGAGGGAACUCUGAUGCAGCGACGCCGCGUGAGCGAUGAAGGAAUUCGUUUCGUAAAGCUCUGUUCUAUGGGAAGAAAAGGACUGUACCAUAGGAGAAAGCCCCGGCUAAAUACGUG
rnacentral:rRNA from 1 species